rnacentral:tRNA from 1 species
UGGGGAGUAUUGAGAAGAAUGGCCCGGUGAGGACUCUGAAUCCGCCUAUCGGGGUUCGAAUCCCUGCCUCCCAGCCA